rnacentral:rRNA from 1 species
AUAAGCAAUUAUACCGUGAAACUGCGAAUGGCUCAUUAAAUCAGUUAUCGUUUAUUUGAUAAUACCUUACUACUUGGAUAACCGUGGUAAUUCUAGAGCUAAUACAUGCUGAAAAUCCCGACUUCGGAAGGGAUGUGUUUAUUAGAUAAAAAACCAAUGCCCUUCGGGGCUUUUUGGUGAUUCAUGAUAACUUUACGGAUCGCAUAGCCUUGCGCUGGCGACGGUUCAUUCAAAUUUCUGCCCUAUCAACUUUCGAUGGUAAGGUAUUGGCUUACCAUGGUUUCAACGGGUAACGGGGAAUUAGGGUUCGAUUCCGGAGAGGGAGCCUGAGAAACGGCUACCACAUCCAAGGAAGGCAGCAGGCGCGCAAAUUACCCAAUCCCGACACGGGGAGGUAGUGACAAUAAAUACUGAUACAGGGCUCUUUUGGGUCUUGUAAUUGGAAUGAGUACAAUUUAAACCUCUUAACGAGGAACAAUUGGAGGGCAAGUCUGGGCCAGG